AACAUUCAGCAUAGAAUGACUAAAUUAAUACAUAGCAUUAGAAAUCUUCCUUAUGAAGAAAGACUGAAGACUCUUAAAUUACAUUCACUUGUUAGACGAAGAAUGAGGGGAGACAUGAUCUAUGUGUAUAAGUGGAAGAUGGGUAUUAAUAAAGGGGAUGAUAAAUUAGACACAUGUGCAACUCUUGGGUAUCUUUAUUGAUAAGAGUUGCACACGUGUCUAAUUUAUCAACGUGUCGGUUCUCUGAACCAUUCAUCUACAAUAAUAGAGGGGAUAUUAAUAAGGUCUUGAGGAUGUCUCUGCAAGAGAGAACCUGCAGUAAUGGAUUUAAAUUAGAUAAGUUUAGAUUUAGAAAGGACUUAGGAAAGUACUGGUUUGGAAAUAGGGUAGUUGAUGAGUGGAACAGUGUAUCUAGUUGGGUUAUUGAGGCUAGGACUUUCGGUAGUUUCAAAUUUAGAUUGGAUAAAUAUAUGAGUGAAGGUGGUUGGAUUUGAGUGGGACUUGCAAAUGAGUGGAUAGAGUUAUCAGAGCUUAUUUCUUGGGUAGCAUUGAAAAUUGAGUUGAGCAAAUGUUUUGUUAGCUGGAUGGAUUGUAAGGGACCUGCCUAAUAUGGGCCAACAGGCCUGCUGCAGUGAUCCUCCUUUCUUAUGUAAUAUUAGUACCAGUCUGUAAGACUGGUACUUAACAUUUUCUGUACAGUUACUUCCUGGCUAGACAUGUAACCAUUGAAGGCACAGGAAUACUGCACAUAUUUGCAGUAUAAUGUAAAAGACACACUAUCCAAGUCGUCUACCAACCUACUAUCUAAACUCGGUAAACUUAUUCUUGUAUAAAUUUUACAAUCUCUUAUUCACCCUUCCCUUUAUAAAAAAGGAAGUAUACACACACACUGCCAAUUCCUAGGGACUUUCCCCUCUUUCAUACAUUUAUUGAAUAAAAAUAUCAACCACUCCAACACUACAACCCCCCCUCCCCCCGCCUCCGCUUUUAACAUUUCUGUCGCGAUCCCGUCGGUUCGAGCUGCUUUACCCCGUUUCACUGUAUGUAAUGCCUCGUGCACCUCCCCCACACUCACGUGCUGCUUUUCUCGACUGGUGAAAGAUGUUAUACGUCCCUGGCCAUUGCGUGAAAUUAUUGCCUCCAUCUCUUCAUCAACAUUUUAAAGUUCCUCAGUGUAUAUACAGUAUAAGUAUAAGUGAGAAAUGCAAUUUAUACAGUAGAUUUUGUUUGGUGUUUUUGAAAGUUGAUGAUACAGAGCAUUUACUGUAUUGUUCUCCAGUUUGUCUCCUGGCUUCCAUCAGUUACUGGAGUGUGAACACAGUGAAAGCUUUCCUUAUAUACAAAUUUUUAUUUCUUGCAAAGGUUAGAAUGUGUGAUUUUGUAUUAUAAUAAUUUUGUAUUAUCCACCUACUGCAGCCCCAUCCUGCAGUAUUCUCCAACCACAGCCCUACCCUGCAAUAUGCUCCAACCACAGCCCCACCUUGCAGUAUUCUCCAACCACAGCACCACCCUGCAGUAUGCUCCAACCACAGCCCCACCCUGCAGUAUUCUCCAACCACAGCCCCAGCCUACAGUAUUCUUCACCAGCUUGCCUUUCUUAUAUGUCGACGUCCGAGAGUCGGCAAUCGGGGCAGCGUUACUACAAGCGUCUGAAGGGCAGUGUUUGCAGCCUAUAGCAUAUUAGUGAGCCAAGUAUUGGACCCAUCGAUGGGCCUGCUCCACCAUCGAAAAGGAAGUCCUAGUUAGCCCUGAUAUUUGUGCUGGAGCAUUUUUUUUUUUUUUUUUUUUUUUGCAGUCAUCUUGUGUGGUUGCCAUCUACAGUGAUCACAACCCUCUCACCCAUACGAGUGCCACGAAGAAUCACAACGACCAACGAGGUAGUCUCAGGCCGCAACCACACGAUCCUCCGAGACCUUGCCUCUCGAGCGAGAGAGCACGGCCACUAGUGCUCUGGCGGUUGAAUAUCGGGAGAACACUUGAGCGAUGUGCCAUUUUAAUGGCUAGAUCCUUCGGCAGGCGAGUCGUCACGCACUCUCCAUCAGACUCCAAUUUCCACGGUCACCGAUUUGAGGUAUCCACUCUCAGGGAUACCGAGGGCUCAUCGUUCCCUCUCGAGAACUCUGGUACUCUCGGAGCACAACCUUGGGCCAGACUCAUCUGGUGCUUGUCUGGUUAACGAGGCUGUUGCUGCCGGAGACCCACUGUCCGACAACCUGGUUGAUAUAGGAUCUGGUGAAGAUGAUACUUGUCCAAUUUUAUGUUGAAGACUUGUACACUUGUUCUGGCAGUGGUAAGAGGUUGAAUAGUCUUGUUGAUACAGUGUUGCCUUAAAUGUUUUACUGGCUCUAUGUGGGCUAUAAACGAUCUCUAUUUGUUCAAGGCCAGACAUAAUUUCGUGCUUUGAACGGGGCCGUCAGCACUGAGCACUAGUGAUUUGAAGUGUCACCAUUGUUAUUAUUUCCCUUGUUUUGAAAGGUCUCAAUACCCAUCCCAUCAUCCUCCUCCUCUGGGCUGUUGUUAUCUACUGUGGCCAGCAGUAACAGCCUGGUCUGAGACUGGGCCUUAGGGGACGUUGACCCUUGAAACCCUCUGCAGGUAUGUUGUUAUUGUUAGUAAGGUAACUAACUUAAUUAUUUCCAAGUCUUUUACCUGUUGUUUUUGUUCUAUUUGGUGAUUGUUGCGGCCCCCUACCAAACUAGUGGUUAAAUGGUUAACCUGCUGGCCGGCAGUACCACUGGGUACGUCAUCAAACCCAAUGUGGGGACUGCUGAGCCAGCCUUAGCAGCAGUAAGUACCUGAACACCUCAUGGUACGCACCGCAGCAGUAAUUACCAGAACACCUUACAGUAGAGAGUAUUCUCCUGCCCAUCUUUUGGUAUUCUACUGGCUUCUAUUGAUUUUAGAAGAGCCGCUCACCGCAGCUCACUGAGUCUGAUGGCCUCAGUUACUUGAUGGCCACACUCAGUGAGCUUGCAGCAUGGUGUUCUGCUAGUAAUUCAUCGGACCACCUUGCGGUGUGUCAAUUGGUCUUGAAGGCGGUAGAUAGUACUCACCAGACCAUCUUACGGUGUACUUCUACCGGCCUUAGAGAGUAUUUAAAGGACAGGUGAUGUCUGCGGACUCACCGCCUACGCUGGUCAACUGUGGGCCGGAGUCAUCUGAUGCUGUUUUAAUGGGACAUUACAUGAAGAAAAGGUUGGAGUGUUACACUGAACUGGGCUAGGACCGUAGUGUGACACUUAGGGAAGUAUGAUGGAGUGGAACACUGAGAUAUGCUACAGGACCAUAGUGGAACACUGAGGAGAAAAGGGUGUCUUGUGACACUGAAGAUGGCCUGGUUGUAGUGUACAUUGAAUAGUAUCAUGUGACUGGCCUCUCGAAAGACGCUACAUCGAUAGUGAGUGUGUCGCAGAGACAAGGGUGUCAAGUAUGACACAGUCGAGAAAGGGUGUGGAUGAUGCAGAGAAAAGGGUGUCGUGUGACACAGAGAGCUGGAGUGUCUGGUGACACAGAGAAAAGGGUGUCAAGGGACACGGUUGUGAAGGAGCAUCAUCACACGGUGAAAAGGGUGUCGAGUGACACGGUGGAGAAGGAGCGUCACAACUCGAAUAAGUGUCGUGUGGGACACAGAGCGUCAUUAUAAGUGUCGUGUGAGACACGGAGUUGAUCAUAAUUUAUUAUUAUACAAAUGUUAUUUAUAAUUUAUUAUUUUAGCAUAGAUAUAUAUAUUAUUAUUUUAAGAUGCUAAUAAUUUAUUAUUGUAAUAUGUAUAUAUAUUUUAAAUACCUCUAGACCAAAGAUUGAUUUUUAUAUAAUAUUAAAGAUUAAUUUAUUUUAA